UACGGGGGGAGCAAGCGUUGUUCGGAUUUACUGGGCGUAAAGGGCGGGUAGGCGGCCACCGCAAGUCGGUUGUGAAAUCUCCGGGCUUAACCCGGAAAGGUCAACUGAUACUGCGGGGCUAGAGUGCAGAAGGGGCAACUGGAAUUCUCGGUGUAGCGGUGAAAUGCGUAGAUAUCGAGAGGAACACCUGCGGCGAAGGCGGGUUGCUGGGCUGACACUGACGCUGAACUGCGAAAGCUAGGGGAGCGAACGGG
rnacentral:rRNA from 1 species